CCUACGGGAGGCAGCAGUGAGGAAUAUUGGUCAAUGGGCGGAAGCCUGAACCAGCCAAGUAGCGUGCGGGAUGAAGGCCCUACGGGUCGUAAACCGCUUUUGCACGGGGAUAACACCCUCCACGUGUGGAGGUCUGCAGGUACCGUGCGAAUAAGGGCCGGCUAAUUCCGUGCCAGCAGCCGCGGUAAUACGGAGGGUCCGAGCGUUAUCCGGAUUCAUUGGGCUUAAAGGGAGCGUAGGCGGGCGCUCAAGUCAGCGGUAAAAUCGCGCGGCUCAACCGCGCCCCGCCGUUGAAACUGGGUGCCUUGAGUUCACAACAGGCACGCGGAAUGCGUGGUGUAGCGGUGAAAUGCAUAGAUAUCACGAGGAACCCCGAUUGCGAAGGCAGCCUGCCGGGGUGUGACUGACGCUGAGGCUCGAAGGUGCGGGUAUCAAACAGGAUUAGAUACCCUUGUAGUC
rnacentral:rRNA from 1 species